UUAUUUCUAUCCAUAGCUAAGCCAUCCGUCACAGCAUGUGAAAAUGAACACGGUUCGGUGGCCUGGAUGCUUCUGAAGGGUUGUUGCACCAGUUUGUAAGGCACACGCCAUACGGUGGUUUUACCUUAAAUAGUAGAAUUCAGUAGAUACCUGUGCGCAAGGACGACAAAGACAUUAAAGGUGUAGCACCGAGCAGGAAAAGGAGUCACUUAACCCCAGCGACUGAACGAUCAGACCAUCCCAAGUAGACCAGCAGAGAUGUUCAUGAACAAUGGGUCAUUUCGGUACAAUCUCACUCGGUAGCAGACGCAGUAAUUCUUCAUUUCGUGCAUAAUCUGCCAAGUCAACUUCACUGGUGAGAGAAUGAACAGCAAACUGAUGACAGCGUCUAUGAUUCUUUAUAUGACAGCCUUUGACCCUCGUUUGGUGUUCCUGAGCGCGAUUAAAGCUGCCGGUUACGCACUCUCUCUCUCCGAGUCCGCGUCUGCCUCAGUUUCGCACCUAGAAGCGCAUAAAUUUAAAGUGCUGUCGCUAGAUGACCAUUGGGGAUUGUCAUUUGCAUCUUAAUGGUUCGCUUCCCAUCCAAAUCAGUGCGAAUAGGCCUAACGGAGCUACUCCAUUAGAGUCUUAGCCUCAUGAAUAUGAUAGCACGCCAUUUAUUAAACAGGUCUUUGUUACUGCUGCAUAGCUUCCCAACGUUCAUUUCUGCUACAUGCGAGUCUGGUGUGCUGCUUUGCGUGAGGAAAGCAAAGCCGUAGCCCAAACGUGCUAUUCUCAAGGUGCGCAACGAGUCGAAACCUAUCCAAAAGUGGCGCUGCUGUUUUCCAAAGGCCCAUACUUUCACCGACCAUUGAUCCGGGACUACACGGCACUCUUCUGGUCGUGGUUAAUUUCAUCCGCGCUGAUUUUAACGCACCGGGGCAAAAUGUCUUAACUUUGCCGCAAAAAGAUGCGCGUUACAGCGCGCCGGUUAGAGUGGCCGCUUAGCGCGCUGUGAGCGCCGGUUUUUUCCGCACCCCGGUCCUCGCCGCCGCAAACGACGCAUGUGCGCCCUCCCUUCGCCCGCGCGCAGCACGCGCUUCAGGGAUUCCGCGGAGUCCGGCAUUCGCGUGGAGUCGGCGCGGUGCUCGCGCGUUGCCGUUCCCCGCUGCCCGUGAGGCGACGGUCGCGCUACAGCGAAUCAGACUGGUACAGGAACCACAUUGGUACAGGAAUCAGACCGGUACAGAAUCAGACUGGUACAGGUGUUCAUGCUUCUCUGCGGUUUCCUUCAAACAUCGCGUCGGAGUCUCCAGAGAACCCAUGGUGAGCCCAGAGUCCCUGCAGAACACAAGACAGCUGGGACAAUGGCAAGACGAAGGAAGCCCACAAAAAGGAAGCCCCUUUGAAGCCAGAAAAAAACGAAUAUAACUUGUAUCAAUUCAUUAAAAUGAGAUUCAUUCUCAUCCUCUGUUUCGUUAA